CUACGGGAUGCACCAGUGGGGAAUAUUGCACAAUGGGCGCAAGCCUGAUGCAGCCAUGCCGCGUGUAUGAAGAAGGCCUUCGGGUUGUAAAGUACUUUCAGCGGGGAGGAAGGGAGUAAAGUUAAUACCUUUGCUCAUUGACGUUACCCGCAGAAGAAGCACCGGCUAACUCCGUGCCAGCAGCCGCGGUAAUACGGAGGGUGCAAGCGUUAAUCGGAAUUACUGGGCGUAAAGCGCACGCAGGCGGUUUGUUAAGUCAGAUGUGAAAUCCCCGGGCUCAACCUGGGAACUGCAUCUGAGACUGGCAGGCUUGAGUCUCGUAGAGGGGGGUAGAAUUCCAGGUGUAGCGGUGAAAUGCGUAGAGAUCUGGAGGAAUACCGGUGGCGAAGGCGGCCCCCUGGACGAAGACUGACGCUCAGGUGCGAAAGCGUGGGGAGCAAACAGGAUUAGAUACCCGAGUAGUC
rnacentral:rRNA from 1 species